AAAUUCUAAUGUAAACUUAAAUGUUAAUCUACAGAGGUACAGCUCUGCAGAACAAGAUUACAACCUUAAUUAGUGAGUAAAUAUAUUUAAUUACCAUAGUUGGCCUAAAAGCAGCCAUCAAUUAAGAAAGCGUUCAAGCUCAACAGUAAAUUUACAUUUAAUCCAAAAAACUAAUUACAUAAACUCCUAAUAUAACCACUGGAUUAUUCUACCAAUCUGUAGAAGAAAUACUGUUAAAAUGAGUAACAAGAUUUUUAUCUCCAUCCACACGUGUAUAUCAGCCCGAACCCUAACUGAUAGUUAACAAUUAGAUAAAUCUAUACACCAAAUUAAUAAUUUACCACAACAUUGUUAAUCCAACACCGGAGUGAAUAUAAGGAAAGAUUAAAAAAAGUAAAAGGAACUCGGCAAACAUAAACCCCGCCUGUUUACCAAAAACAUCACCUCUAGCAUUAUUAGUAUUAGAGGCACUGCCUGCCCAGUGACAUUAGUUUAACGGCCGCGGUAUCCUGACCGUGCAAAGGUAGCAUAAUCAUUUGUUCCUUAAUUAGGGACUUGUAUGAAUGGCCACACGAGGGUUUAACUGUCUCUUACUUUUAAUCAGUGAAAUUGACCUUCCCGUGAAGAGGCGGGAAUAAAAAAAUAAGACGAGAAGACCCUAUGGAGCUUAAAUUUAAGUGUUCAACAAAAUUUAAACUCAAUCCAACAGGAAUAAUAUUAUUUUAACUGAACAACAAAUUUUGGUUGGGGUGACCUCGGAGUAUAAUAAAACCUCCGAGCAAUUUAAACUAAGACUCACCUGUCAAAGUGAUAAAAUUUAUUGAUCCAAUCAAAUUGAUCAACGAAACAAGUUACCCUAGGGAUAACAGCGCAAUCCUAUUUGAGAGUUCAUAUCGACAAUAGGGUUUACGACCUCGAUGUUGGAUCAGGACACCCAAAUGGUGCAGCAGCUAUUAAAGGUUCGUUU
rnacentral:rRNA from 1 species